GAAGAAUGUUAUCAGGGGAGAGAGACGGCGGGUGCUAACGUCCGUGGUGAAGAGGGAAACAACCCUGACCGCGAGCUUAGGUGCCAUAUUCAUGGUUAAGUGUGAAACGAUGUGGGAAGGCACAGUCAGCCAGUGUGUUGGCUUAGAAGCAGCCUUCAUUUAAAGAAAGCGUAUUUGCUCACUGGUCGAGUCGGGCUGCGCUGAAGUUGUAACGGGGGUAUAGCAUGCACCGAUGCUGCGGCUGCGACACUUAGGUGUUGUUGGGUUGGGGUGCGUUCUGUUAGCC
rnacentral:rRNA from 1 species